UACGUAGGGUGCGAGCGUUAAUCGGAAUUACUGGGCGUAAAGCGUGCGCAGGCGGUUUUGUAAGCCAGAUGUGAAAUCCCCGGGCUUAACCUGGGAAUGGCAUUUGGGACUGCAAGGCUUGAGUGCGGCAGAGGAGACUGGAAUUCCUGGUGUAGCAGUGAAAUGCGUAGAUAUCAGGAGGAACACCGAUGGCGAAGGCAGGUCUCUGGGCUGACACUGACGCUCAGGCACGAAAGCGUGGGGAGCAAACAGG
rnacentral:rRNA from 1 species